ACAUGCCUAGUUAAGAGGUAAUAUAUCUUAGCCAAUAGCCUUACUAGCUAAAGGGUAAAGCGAUUUUUCUGAAUGGCAAAUCAUGGCACUAGGAAAGAUACCUUGUAAGUCUAUUGUUAAAGAAAACGACAUCAAUCAGUCGUAUUAUAUGGUGACAUACGUUUAUGUAAAUGUCGAGGAUUCGCAAAGCCGACAAUAAAUAAAUAACGACGGGGGAGUUUGCAAGCCACCUGAGAUAGCGUUAUAGGCU
rnacentral:sRNA from 12 species